CGGGCACACGGAGUGCGAAAGAACCAGGAAGUGAGGCACAGCUGUUGGACCGUGGGAGCCAUGUCCUGGUGCUGAUAAUGGAAACACUGCGCGCUGGAGCGGCCAAAUGUAGAGGGAGAUUAGCGGGAGACUGUGGUGUGUAACUUGUGGAGCGGCCAGCGUUAGAGAGAGAGAGAGGAGGAUUUCUCCUCAAGUCUGACCUGUGUCUGGAGUUAUGUGCAGCACAGACCCGUGUUAUUCCCGCUGCUCCGGCUGACCUGCAGCUGUACCCGGCUCCGACCCGCUCCGCUCCGCCCCUCCCAGCUGAAUCACGGAGGGAGUGAUUUCAGAAAGCUUCCGGAUCUGCGCCAUCAGGAUUCAGCUGCGUCAAGUGAAACAUUACACCCGGAAGUACGCUGAUUUUUCAUCAAAAUAAAAGC
rnacentral:lncRNA from 1 species